AGCGAACGCUGGCGGCAGGCCUAAUACAUGCAAGUCGAACGGAUCCUUCGGGAUUAGUGGCGGACGGGUGAGUAACACGUGGGAACGUGCCCUUUGGUUCGGAACAACUCAGGGAAACUUGAGCUAAUACCGGAUGUGCCCUUCGGGGGAAAGAUUUAUCGCCAUUGGAGCGGCCCGCGUCUGAUUAGCUAGUUGGUGGGGUAAAGGCCCACCAAGGCGACGAUCAGUAGCUGGUCUGAGAGGAUGAUCAGCCACACUGGGACUGAGACA
rnacentral:rRNA from 1 species